rnacentral:ncRNA from 1 species
CCGUUGACAAAGUAGCAGGGCGGUGAAAACAGGCAGAUCGUAAAGACGCCGUAAAAUCGACCCUGAUGGCUCGAGCCGCGCCAUCCGUGGCGCGGACGCUUU